rnacentral:lncRNA from 1 species
CAAGGGUACAGGCUCAGGUCCAGAGUGCCUGGGUUUGGAUCCUGGCUCUGCCACCUGCUGUGUGUUCUUAUGUAGGUCACCUCACCAAUCUGUGCCUCAGUUUUCUUAUCUCUUAGAUCUCUCAGAUUGUGAGGAUUAAGCGGGUGAACAUGUUUGUUGCUCAGAUAGUACCUGAUAUAUAGCCUUGUCUGAUUUAUUGCAUAUCAACUCCUGAUUUCCAUUGUGGCACUCAUUAACUGGGAAAAUAAAAGUAUGAUUCUUUAAUGUUAAAGAUUUUGCUCAGGAAGUUGAGUGAUUUUCCCGAAGAUCAAAGAGUUAGUCAAUGGAAGGUCUGAGCCUAGAAGAUAAUCUUUUUAAACUCUAAUUUAGUGCUCUUCUGCUAAGAUCUUUGCUUUUCUCUUCAUUCACUCAGAACACUAAUGAUGUAUUUGAGUAUUUGGGGCUGAAAAUCGGUAUAUUCUAUUUAUCAGAUUGUUUGCACCUUUUAAAUAAUUUAUUUGAAAGUGGUUGGGUGUGGUUCUGAGAGUUGCUAAUGAGGUUGUAGGAUGCCUUGCAGUUGAUUUCCAUGUAAUGGUCACAUUGGCAGUGAAGACAUCUUUCCAGUAUGUGCCAGACACUUUACGGCUGUUGUAGUGCAGGAAUGGGGCCCAAAUAUAAGCAAGACAUGGAUGAUCUUGUCUUUGAGAAUACACAGACCUGGUGACAGACAUGGAAAUCAAC